AUUGAACGCUGGCGGCAGGCCUAACACAUGCAAGUCGAACGAGUGGCGGACGGGUGAGUAAUGUCUGGGAAACUGCCUGAUGGAGGGGGAUCACUACUGGACACGGUAGCUCAUACCGCAUACCAUCAGAUGUGCCCAGAUGGGAUUAGCUUGUUGGUGGGGUAACGGAUCACCAAGGCGACGAUCCCUUGCUGGUCUGAGAGGAUGACCAGCGAGACGGGAACGGAGACACGGUCCAGACUCCGACGAGAGGCAGCAGUGGGGAAUAUUGCACAAUGGGCGGAAGCCUGAUGCAUCCAUGCCGCGUGUAUGAAGAAGGCCUGCGGGUUGUAAAGUACUUUCAGCGGGGAGGCGUUACCCGCAGAAGAAGCACCGGCUAACUCCGUGCCAGCAGCCGCGGUAAUAC
rnacentral:rRNA from 1 species